rnacentral:rRNA from 1 species
UACGGAGGGUGCAAGCGUUAUCCGGAUUCACUGGGUUUAAAGGGUGCGUAGGCGGGCAGGUAAGUCCGUGGUGAAAUCUCUGAGCUUAACUCAGAAACUGCCAUGGAUACUAUCUGUCUUGAAUAUUGUGGAGGUAAGCGGAAUAUGUCAUGUAGCGGUGAAAUGCUUAGAUAUGACAUAGAACACCCAUUGCGAAGGCAGCUUACUACACAAGUUUAUUGACGCUGAGGCACGAAAGCGUGGGGA